UCCCGAUGUCGAAGUAGUGAUCAACUACAACUUUUCUCUUACCACUGAGGACUAUGUUCACGGAAUAGGGAGAACUGGCCGAGCUGGUAAAAAGGGUGUGGCUCAUACUUUCUUCAUGCACGAAAACAGGGGUCUCGCUGGGGAGUUGGUGAAUUUUCUUAGAGAAGCUGGACAGGUUGUGCCUGAAUCCCUUAUGAAGUUUGGCACUUAUGUGAAGAAAAAGGAAUCUAAGCUCUAUGGAGCCCACUUCAAGGAAAUUACUGCAGAUGCUCCAAAGGCGACAUAGAUCACCUUCGACAAUUCAGAUGAAGAUUGAUUGUAUCUUCUGCAAACAGCAAAAGCUCCCAUCCUGCUUCACUUUCGGUGUCGGAUGAAUGCCAAAUAGUGGUUUGUUUGAGAUAAAUCAGCCAUUGAUUUUGGCUUGUCCGAUUUUUUGAAACAAGAUGAAAGGCUUAAUGACAUCGUUGGCAGGUCAUUCUUGGAUUAGUAAUUACAAUGAUAUUCAGGCUCAUGAAAGCCUAUAUGCGCUCAUCAUCUCUACAUAAAGCUGCGUUAAGAGCAUUGUCCAACCUUGUGGUUUACUUUUGGCUAGGAAUGUCGUCCAGGGGUUAGUCGUGGGAGAGUUCGAGAGAUUUUAACGUAUUUAGGUUUUAUCCUGUUAGUCCUGAGGGAGUUUGAGGGAGUCUCUCCAAAUCUCCGUUAGUCGUGGGGGAGUUUAGAGGAGUCUCCUAAACUCUCUACAAAACACAUGUUAGUCGCUGUAGAGUUUAAAAAAAGCUCUCGAACUCCCUGUUAGU